rnacentral:rRNA from 1 species
CAGUCGCCACGGUAAUACGUAGGGUGCGAGCGUUAAUCGGAAUUACUGGGCGUGAAGCGAGCGCAGACGGUUAUUUAAGCAGGAUGUGAAAUCCCCGGGCUUAACCUGGGAACUGCGUUCUGAACUGGAUAGCUAGAGUGUGUCAGAGGGGGGUAGAAUUCCACGUGUAGCAGUGAAAUGCGUAGAGAUGUGGAGGAAUACCGAUGGCGAAGGCAGCCCCCUGGGAUAACACUGACGUUCAUGCUCGAAAGCGUGGGCAGCAAACAGGAUUAGAUACCCCCGUAGUCCCUGUCUCUUAUAC